rnacentral:tRNA from 3 species
AAGAAAGAAGCAUGAGUGGUUUAAUGCGGUUGGCUUGAAACCAAUGUAUGAGGGUUCGAUUCCUUCCUUUCUUG